rnacentral:rRNA from 1 species
AUACGUAGGUCCCGAACGUUGCGCGAAAUUACUGGGCGUAAAGGGUCCGUAGGCGGUCUGGUAAGUGGAAGGUGAAAGCCUGGGGCUCAACUCCAGAAUUGCCUUCCAAACUGCCGGACUUGAGGCAGGGAGAGGUCGGCGGAAUUCCCGGUGUAGCGGUGAAAUGCGUAGAUAUCAGGAGGAACACCAGUGGCGAAGGCGGCCGACUGGAACUGUCCUGACGCUGGGGGACGAAAGCCAGGGGAGCGAACCGGAUUAGAAACCCUAGUAGUCC